UCACUUGCUCACUCACUCACUCACUCACUCCUCAGGCAGUUCGCGAGGCUCGCUGCCUCGGCACUCGGCAGUGAGUUACCGACUGCACUCAGGCGCGCAUCGCACUCUCGGCCUUGCGAAGCAGCAGCGACAGCCGCAGCAGCAGCAGCAACAGCAGCGCAAACCCACCGGAGCGGUAGCAACGUGUCACGUAACGCGAGACAAACCCAUGCUGUUAGAAAGACGUCAGGAUGAAGUCUGAUCCCCCCGCGGAACGGUUGGAGAAUUUUUUAAAUCACCAACGCUGCAAGAAUUAUUUUUACCACAAUCGUCGCGAUCUGCAUCAGCAGCAGGAUCAGUAGCAGAGUGCAAAAAAAAAAAAAACGAUAAUAAAAAUUAAAAAGAAGAAGAAAAACAAAAAGAUCGUUAAUCUAUGAAACAUAUGACAUUGACAGUGAGAAUGAGAAAUCGAUCGAAUCGAACCUGCUGUGUGAUUUAAAAAGUGCAAAAAAAAAAUCAAAAUAAAACGUAAUCACAGAUCAUUAAACUUCGAGGGUGAAAAGCGUCCUCGUUAAGGACAGAAUCAAAACGCGUAGUGAACGAAGUACAGUCGAGUAAAGAUAAGUCUGUGAAUUAUUUUUUCGUGAUAUAAAUAGAAAAAAAAAAAAGGAAAAAAUCUUAGAAAAUGGAUCACAAUGACGACAUUUUAUCAUCCGGUCAAAUGGAUUCCAGUGCCUCGUCGUCAAACGCGGCGCUCAAUCCAAGAACACCGCCGAAUUGUGCCCGUUGUAGGAAUCAUAGACUAAAAAUAGCCCUCAAGGGUCACAAGAGAUACUGUAAAUAUCGUAGCUGUAACUGCGAGAAGUGUAGAUUAACCGCGGAACGGCAACGCGUCAUGGCGCUGCAAACCGCGCUGAGAAGAGCUCAGGCCCAGGACGAGGCCAGGGUCAGAGGGCCCGAAGAACAGGUGGACCCUCGUUCGGUGGUCGUUGACGUCGCCGAUCGUUUGAUAUCGGUGCCCCAACCCGAGAGGUCGAGUUUGGAGGGUAGCUGCGACAGCAGCAGCGGGGGAUCCCCGGUGAGCAAUCACGACAGCAACGGAGGGCACAGCGUAAUCGGGGGAUCGGUUGUUACGAUACCACCCUCGCAAAAAUUACCCGCGAUUUACCCCCACGGCACCCCCCCGUCGUAUUUACCGCAGCGGCGAAACGGUGAAAACGUCGAGGUUCUAUUAGAGUACAGUACCAAACUCCUAGAGCGUUUCCGGUAUCCCUGGGAAAUGCUUCCCCUAAUGUUCGUUAUAUUGAAAGAUGCGAGAGCCGACCUUGAGGAAGCUUCCCGACGCAUAACGGAAGAUGCAACAACACGAAAAUUACUUUCAUUAUGCAUGACUACGAUCUCUUAUAGUUUAAUGUUUAUCAAUAGAUGCAAAGUAUUUGUGGCUAUAACUGUAUUUUAUAGUCAUCAGAUAGAAUUGGUUAAUUAAAAAGGCAAAACAAAUUUUUAAAAGUCAAAACGAGCGGUUAAAAACGUACCUGCAGUUAAUGCAUGCGCAGCAAUAUACAACAAAUUCUUUACACGCGAAAGCUCAAGAAGAAUAAAAAUAAAAAAUGUUUGACCGUCACUUGGGAAAAAUGGCUGUGGAGUGAUUUUGCGAUUAAAUGGUAUAAUUUGACGUUUUCAAAACUACGUGAGAAUUUUUAUCGAACGCUGUUUAUAUCAUAUUCUGUUUCUUAACAUUUUACUAUUAUUUUCGUUCAAUUAUCAAUAUUGCAAGAGAUCGUUAAAAUAUCGCGGGAAUUCAACCUCAUCGCUGGAUGCGCUCAUCGUAGAUGGCAACAAGGAUGAUCCGAAGCUGGAUGAACGAAUCUUCCUUUGAAGAAAAACGAACAAUCCCAGCAAAACUUUCAUGUCAUCAACUGAAGAGGAAACCAACGAUAUUUUCAUCACGGAAGAUUUCAUACUGGAUCAAACGUUUAAUCUUUAAACGUAAAGAAUUUAAAAUAAUCGAUGAACGUUAAACCAGAGAAAUUAAAAUUUCGUCACGGAAGAUGCUGGAUGAUGGAUAAAUUAAUCAAUUAAUUUCACAUUAAGUUAAACUUGUAAAAUCUCAAAAAGGAAAACUACAAUUUCAUCACGGAAGAUUAUCGAAGAUGAAUCAAAAUGUUCGUAAAUAUUUUCCUCUUUCUUUUUGCAAUAUUUUAUCUUACGUAUAAUGCAUCAUAAAAUUCGGAGUUGAAUUUUUCUCGCUCUCGUUAAACUUGUGCGAUUAAAUAAAUCAAUUAUAGUACUUCAUAAAAACGUUGCGUAUCAAAUACUUGUACAUAUAAAAACGGAUCUUGUAUAUUAUUCGUAAAAUAUAACGCGUGUGUGAAUACGAGAAUUUAUCAGAUACAUUUAAAAAAUAAAAAAAGUAUAAAAAUAAAAAAAUGACGAAUAAUUCAUCAAAUUUUAAAAGCUGUUGAAAAGCCUUAACUUCUGUGUAUUUAUUAACGUCGCGAAUUAUGGGUAAACGGUGAUGAAGUUCCUAUUACAAAGGUGUAAAAUAUUAGUUUAUACUUAAUGUUUAUCGGAGUAAUAUUCGGCAACAAACGAAAAAUGAAAAAAAAAAUAGAAUAAUCAAUUGCGAAACAUCAAUGAAGAUCGAAUUUACGGUGGUGGACUACCGAUGAACGCGAUUACGAAAAGUUUCGCCAAGGAUGAUCGCGAGACGCUGCACGAGAAACUGGACAAAAGACGGCGGUCUGAAAACGUAGGUAUAUAAUAUGCGCAUAGACGAUAAGAAGAAAAUGAAGCUGGACGAAGAGAAACAAAAAAAGAAUACAAAAAUAACAAAAAACGAUAAUUAAACACCACCCCGAUUCCCGACCGCAGAGAACAGAAAUAAACAAAUCAAUUACACGAAGGAAAAAAAAAAAAACAGUAUAGAAAUAAAUAAAUAAACAAAUAAAAGUAUACCUAUAUAUCCACAUUAGAAUACAAUAAAUCUUAUAUCCUGUUAGUUUCGACGGUGGAGAGAAUGUGAUUAUUUUUUGCUUUGUUGUUUUCUCUAUUCUUUCUUUUUCUUCUCGUUCUAUGGUUUUUUUUUUGUUUUUUCUUUUCCAAAUUUCUCAAAUAUAUUUGUGUAUAUGUGUAUGUAUGUAUGUAUGUAUGUAUGUAUGUAUAUAUAUGCGUGUAAGCUGGAAAACACACCCACACGUGGACAUAUACAUAUGUGACAGAAGGAAAAAAAAAAAAACUAUUUACAUGUACCUUGUACGAGCGCGGACGUUGAUUUUGAUAUGUAGUAAUAUCGACUCGAACUGUACAGCGCGUGAUGAAUAUGUUGUACAGAUUUUAAUCACCUUACGCCGCAUGUAACGAUAUGAAUAACGACAAACAAAAAAAAAAAACAACAAUAACAAUAUUAAUAAUAGUAAUAAUAAUUAAAUAACACUAAUUCCGAUAAUAUUAAUAUUAACAAUGUUCAUGCUAACAAAGAAAAUGAUACUGACAACACCCACAACAACAGCAAUGAUAUGGAUAAUAAUGAUAACAAUAAUAUUAACGAUAGUAGCAAUAACGAUAGUUUUUCAUCGUACAUCCAGCUGCAGCUAUUAAACUAUUUCUAUACUGUCAUUACUACGGUCAGCUUCUUCAAUUCGUUUGUUCUCGACUUCAAAAAUCUACGUGAAAGCAAAUAAUGUAGGGAAAACACAAAAAUAAAAUCAUCAACGUUAACGAUAGUAAUAAUAACGGCAUUAAUAAUGUUGAGCGUAUAAUAACGGGAUAGAUUUCAUAUUCAUAUGAUUUUAAAAGUUAUUUUCUAACGAGAUAAGACGAAUUUUAAAUUUCUGUACGUAUUGGCUUGACAGGAUAGAGAAAGAAACAGAGAAUAAUAAUAAUGAUAACGAUAAUGAUAAAAAAACAACAACAAAAAUAAGAUCAAUUAAAAGCAAAACGGAAAACAGAAAUUUUUCGCAAAAAUUCUUGUACAUCGCGCAAAGAAUUUGUUUCAAUUCUUACGCUUCACUGUUAAUAUUAAUGCGAAAUUGCGAGAAAAAGAAAGAAAUAGAGGAGGAAGAACUCGAAAUCAAAAUGAGUGACAAAAAAAUGAUGGUUCAAUUUCUCCGUCGCGGCGCGUACGUCAACGCUUAUUUAUACAUACACAAUAUCCAUACGUACGCUGUAUACACAUUAUUAAUUUACUCCUACUUGUAGGAGCAAAAAAAGGGGGAGGGGGGGGGGGGGGCGAAAGUUUCUAAUAGAAAAAGAAAGAAUGAAAGAAAUCAAGGAAAUAUAUCGCGGGAUAAAGAGCGACGAUAGUAAGAAGAAAAAAAAAAAAAAAAAAAAAAAAAACCCACGAAGUUGAAAGAAUGAGCAAAGAUUUAAAUAAAUAGAGAAAGAAAGAGAGAGACA